rnacentral:rRNA from 1 species
UACGAAGGGGGCGAGCGUUGUUCGGAUUUACUGGGCGUAAAGGGCGCGUAGGCGGCGCCGCAAGUCGCGUGUGAAAAGCCCCGGGCUCAACCUGGGAAUUGCGCUCGAGACUGCGGCGCUGGAGUUCGGGAGAGGAGCGUGGAAUUCCCAGUGUAGAGGUGAAAUUCGUAGAUAUUGGGAAGAACACCGGUGGCGAAGGCGGCGCUCUGGACCGAGACUGACGC